rnacentral:lncRNA from 1 species
CAUCCGGCGAGAGCCACUUCCGGUCAGAACAUCAAUGACCGCCAUUUGAAUCAACAAAAGGAGCUGUAACACUGUGAGGGUCUGGUCAGCUGCUUCAUUCUUGAAGUCAGUGAGACCGCAAACCCACCAGAAGGAACCAACUCCGGACACAGAGGGACUAGAUAAUACUGGCUGAAUGAAGGAAUAUGAACAAGGCCACUUGAAUCCCUACUCUUUGGGCUUCUCCAGUAAAGUGGAUUCACUAGUAUAAGAAUGAGAGGCAUCUAUGUUCUCUAAUUUCUAAAGGUGAUUUCUAUCUUAAAAAUAAUAAUUAGAUUGAAGCACCCGGAUACCUUCUCAACCAUCAUCUUACAUGUAAAGUUCCUGGUAUAGAGCUCAGCACAUUGUCAUUCUCACAAAUGGCAGGCAACUAAAAUGAUAUAAGAUGCCCUUCUUGCAUGGCCGUAUAUCUUGAGCUUAUGGAUGAUUUAUUGCAACUGGCUGUUACUUCUCUCCCUUGAGCUCAUGGAGGGUGUCUUGGUCCUGAUUAUAUUUCAAGCUAACCUUCCCACUGUGAACUACUGGCAUCUUACUUUUUGACCCCUUGACAAGAAGAACUGGAGUUACCAAAAUGCUGUCAUUUAAGGUGUUGGAGUGGAAACCAGAACAUUACCUAUUAUCAAGAAGGGGU